rnacentral:rRNA from 1 species
UCCCAGAAACCCUAUCUCAGUCCGGAUUGGAGUCUGCAACUCGACUCCAUGAAGUCGGAAUCGCUAGUAAUCGCAGAUCAGCAUUGCUGCGGUGAAUACGUUCCCGGGCCUUGUACACACCGCCCGUCACACCAUGGGAGUUUGUUGCACCAGAAGCAGGUAGCUUAAGCCAUUCGGGAGGGCGCUUGCCACGGUGUGGCCGAUGACUGGGGUGAUGUUCGUAACAAGGUAGCCGUAUCGGAAGGUGCGGCUGGAUCACCUC